AGUUAAUGAGCUUGUAAAGCGUAUAUUUUGAAAAUAUAAGAAAGGACCAUACCCUAUUAACUU
rnacentral:tRNA from 1 species